CCUACGGGUGGCAGCAGUGGGGAAUAUUGGACAAUGGGCGAAAGCCUGAUCCAGCCAUGCCGCGUGUGUGAAGAAGGCCUUCGGGUUGUAAAGCACUUUCAGUGGGGAAGAAAGCCUUGGGGCUAAUACCCUCGAGGAAGGACAUCACCCACAGAAGAAGCACCGGCUAACUCCGUGCCAGCAGCCGCGGUAAUACGGAGGGUGCGAGCGUUAAUCGGAAUUACUGGGCGUAAAGCGCGCGUAGGCGGUCUGAUAAGCCGGUUGUGAAAGCCCCGGGCUCAACCUGGGAACGGCAUCCGGAUCUGUCAGGCUAGAGUGCAGGAGAGGAAGGUAGAAUUCCCGGUGUAGCGGUGAAAUGCGUAGAGAUCGGGAGGAAUACCAGUGGCGAAGGCGGCCUUCUGGACUGACACUGACGCUGAGGUGCGAAAGCGUGGGUAGCAAACAGGAUUAGAUACCCUUGUAGUC
rnacentral:rRNA from 1 species